GUAAAAUCGUCUGAUUCGGUCGUUCCUAAAAAAGAGACUGAGAAAUUUCUCCACUUUGCCCUGAAGCUUUGAACUCCCCCCAUCAUGAACGACACAACGCUCUCUCAUCCAUCGGCCCUUCCUAGCCUACAACCUCCUUCCUUCUUCGUCUCCUUCUUCCGUCGGAGCCGACCAUUGAAUCAAUUUAUUCUUCCUUUAAUUUUUGCAGGUAAGGGCUUUCUUCUUCAAUCGGUUUCUUCUUCCUUUAAAUUUUGCAGGAGAGAGACGAUUUCUUCAAUCAAUUUAUUCUUCCUUUAAUUUUUACAGGAGAGAGAAUAUUGAUUGGCCGGGAGAAAGAUAGAAAAGGAGAACGUGUUUGCUUUGAUUUUUUCUGCGAUGGAGUAAUACCAGGUGACUUUUUUGUAUUGCCUACUAUCUCCAUCGAUUUCUAUCCACAAUGUGGUCUUUUGAUACACUUGUUUAUUGUUGCUUCAUUUCUAAUGCCACGUACAUUAAUGGAAGAGAUAAAAAAAAUUGGCUUGACUCUUUGAAUUUCCAUGUGAGUUUUGUGUGUAGCUUUUCAGCAAUUGUCUAUUCUUAUUGCUUUCAAUCGUGAUCGUGAUCAUGAUAAAAAAAAAUUAUCUUGUAAAAACACUACUUUUGUGAAGUCUACGUUUCCAUGUUGUGCUCCAAAUUUCAUUUGUUUCUAAUAGGCUUUAACAACUUAACUUUUCUGUUUAAUUUUUGUGUAUCUAGGAAAUUAAAACUUGUUAACUGUUGUGUACUAGGUAACAUGGAUAGAAUUGUUUCCAUGUCAUCUACUUCCUUUAGUUUUUUUUUUCUUCUUCAGGGAGAGGAGUUUGAGGAUGUUUCAAAUGAUGGUGAAGUAUUGUAUUGAAAGUCAAAGUUGGUGUUCCAAAUUGCUUUGUAAUUCGAUUGAAAAAAUAAUUCAUGUGUUUUUAUUAUGUUCUCUUUGUGUAUGUGUAUGUAUGAUCAAUGUUCAUUGCCUUUUCUGUUAAUUAUUUGUUGGUUUGAUCAAAGUUCAUUGUCUUUUCUGGAAUCAAGAAUAAAAUUCUUUUUUAUUUUUUGUGCUAUAUAAAGUUUUUCAUCAAGGGGUAAUUUGG
rnacentral:lncRNA from 1 species